rnacentral:rRNA from 1 species
UACGGGAGGCAGCAGUGGGGAAUAUUGCACAAUGGGCGCAAGCCUGAUGCAGCCAUGCCGCGUGUAUGAAGAAGGCCUUCGGGUUGUAAAGUACUUUCAGUCGUGAGGAAGGUGUUAAGGUUAAUAACCUUAGCAAUUGACGUUAGCGACAGAAGAAGCACCGGCUAACUCCGUGCCAGCAGUCGCGGUAAUACGGAGGGUGCGAGCGUUAAUCGGAAUUACUGGGCGUAAAGGGCACGCAGGCGGUUAAUUAAGUUGGAUGUGAAAUCCCCGGGCUUAACCUGGGAAUGGCAUUCAAGCUGGUUAGCUAGAGUCUUGUAGAGGGGGUAGAAUUCCAUGUGUAGCGGUGAAAUGCGUAGAGAUGUGGAGGAAUACCGGUGGCGAAGGCGGCCCCUGGACAAAGGACUGACGCUCAUGUGCGAAAGCGUGGGGAGCAAAC